CUUUCCUCUCUGCACUCUCAGACAGUGAAUUUCCAAUGCAGAUAACUACCAAGCGCUAAGACUACAGACAGAGAAUGAGGAAUAAUCAGAGAUGGAGGUAAAAGAGAUAGAAAGAAGUGAGAGAGAGAAAGAGAGAGAAAGAAAGAGAGAGAGAGAGAGAAAGAGAAAGAGAAAAGGAAGAGAAAAAAAGAUAAAGGAAUGAGGGAAGAAAAAAAAAAAGAGAGAAAGAAAGAGAGAGAUAGAGAGAAAUAGAGAGAAAGAGAGAAAGAGAGAGAGAAGAUUCGUGAAGUAAAGGAAAGGGAAUAGACGCGCGAGUCGUUCGUGGAAAACUUUAAUGACAUUUCUUACUUCGGAAGGUAACGUACGCGGACUCACCCACAAGCCUCCCCUUUCCACCCUCUACUUCCUCCACGAUCCCCCAUCCCUAUUCCCCUUUGCCACUCUCUUUACCACUUCCCAUCACGUUCGAGGUUCUCCUCGUUGGUGCUAGUUGCGCGUUCGAUCUCUCUUGAACUCGUUGCUCCUCCAUCUUCGGAUCGGUCGAUCGAAUAAGAAGCGACGUAAAUAAACUUUUCCAACGGACUAUCCACCUCGCUUCUACUUUUACCGACAUCCCACAACCUCAAACUUCUCUCUCUUUCUCUCUCUCUCUCUCUCUCUCUGUCUUUCUCUAUUAACCAGCAUCAGACACGAUAGUGUUUCCGCUAGUUCGAUUUUAUUUUAGUUCGCGCAAAGAGUUCGAACAUGAAGUGGAGGUCCUACUGAUCGAACAAAGUGGACAUUGUUUUGUGUCUUUUCGCCAAAGAGAGAGAGAGAGAGAGGGGAGGGAGGAAGGAAAGAAAAGAAAACGCAGUGUGCGUGCAAGAGAGAAAAAGAUAUACAUAUACAUAUAUAUAAGACGUAGAAAAAGUACUAGAAAGUCAGGAAAAGAAAAUUGCGAGACUCUUUGACCUACAAUCCCCACCACUCAUCUCCUAUCAUCAUUACCACCACUAGUACCAAUGGCACCAAUACCAUCAGUAUCACCAUCAUCACCACCACCACCACCACCACCACCACCACCAUCAACGUUAUCCUGAGGGCGCAAACUGGCUUAUAUUACUUUCAAAAUUCAUCAGCGAGUCGUUUGAUCUCCUCCUCUCGUAGGCCAUCUUCUACCAUCUCGUUUUCCAACGCUCGGUAAUCAGAUUUUCAGAGCGGAUAAACCAACGGCGAUUCGCCAUCCCGAUUCUAGGCAACGUUCGCCGUUGCUUUUGAAACUGGGACAACGUUCGAAGAUGUCGCGUGUGAUUGAAAAUCGAUUAUAUGUCGAGUUCGUCCUCAACUUGGGUACUCAUGGUUAACCGUAGAAGGAUGAAAAGGGAUGCAUACAAACUAGAGUAAACGGGGCUAAGACACGUGUAAACAAAGAGGAGAAAGGAAGCAAGAGAGAGAGAGAGAGAGAGAGAGAGAGAGAGAACUUCUAAUUGCAGGGAUAAAAUUAUUCAACGUCAAGUAAGUAAUAUUCAUCGAAAUUAUCGAUUGGCUAAUCAAAAGUUUAACGCGGAAACGAUUCAUUCUUUGCUUACGAUUGAUUAACGACCAAGGAAAAUGAAAAAAAAAAAGAAAAAAAA